CCAGACUCCUACGGGAGGCAGCAGUGGGGAAUAUUGCACAAUGGGGGAAACCCUGAUGCAGCGACGCCGCGUGAGUGAGGAAGUAUUUCGGUAUGUAAAGCUCUAUCAGCAGGGAAGAAAAUGGCGGUACCUGACUAAGAAGCCCCGGCUAACUACGUGCCAGCAGCCGCGGUGAUACGUAUGGUGCAAGCGUUAUCCGGAUUUACUGGGUGUAAAGGGAGCGCAGGCGGCACGGCAAGCCUGAUGUGAAAGCCCGGGGCUCAACCCUGGGACUGCUCUGGAAACUGUAAAGCUGGAGUGCGGGAGGGGCAGGCGGAAUUCCUGGUGUAGCGGCGAAAUGCGUAGAUAUCAGGAGGAACACCGGUGGCGAAGGCGGCCUGCUGGACUGCAACUGACGUUGAGGCCCGAAAGCGUGGGGAGCAAACAGGAUUAGAUACCCCGGUAGUU
rnacentral:rRNA from 1 species